UGGGGAAUAUUGGACAAUGGGCGCAAGCCUGAUCCAGCAAUGCCGCGUGUGUGAAGAAGGCCUUCGGGUUGUAAAGCACUUUUAUCAGGAGCGAAACGCUGUCGGCUAAUACCCGGCGGAACUGACGGUACCUGAGGAAUAAGCACCGGCUAACUUCGUGCCAGCAGCCGCGGUAAUACGAAGGGUGCAAGCGUUAAUCGGAAUUACUGGGCGUAAAGCAUGCGUAGGCGGUUUCUUAAGUCUGCUGUGAAAUCCCCGGGCUCAACCUGGGAAUGGCAGUGGAUACUGGGAGGCUAGAGUGUGUCAGAGGGUGGUGGAAUUCCCGGUGUAGCGGUGAAAUGCGUAGAGAUCGGGAGGAACAUCAGUGGCGAAGGCGGCCACCUGGGACAACACUGACGCUGAGGCACGAAAGCGUGGGGAGCAAACAGGAUUAGAUACCCUGGUAGUCCACGCCCUAAAGCGAUGCGAACUGGAUGUUGGUCUCAACUCGGAGAUCAGUGUCGAAGCUAACGCGUUAAGUUCGCCGCCUGGGGAGUACGGUCGCAAGACUGAAACUCAAAUGAAUUGACGGGGUCAUAGCUGUUUCCUG
rnacentral:rRNA from 1 species